rnacentral:rRNA from 1 species
CGUAGGCAGCGAGCGUUGUUCGGAGUUACUGGGCGUAAAGGGUGUGUAGGCGGUUCUUUAAGUUUGGUGUGAAAUCUCCCGGCUCAACCGGGAGGGUGCGCCGAAUACUGAGGGACUUGGAGUGCGGGAGAGGAAAGUGGAAUUCCUGGUGUAGCGGUGAAAUGCGUAGAUAUCAGGAGGAACACCGGUGGUGUAGACGGCUUUCUGGACCGUAACUGACGCUGAAACACGAAAGCGUGGGUAGCAAACAGGAUUAGAUACCCUGGUAGUCCACGCCCUAAACGAUGCAUAUUUGGUGUGGGUCAUUCAGUUGAUCCGUGCCGGAGCUAACGCGUUAAAUAUGCCGCCUGGGGAGUACAGUCGCAAGGCUG